AACGCACAUUGCGCCCGCCAGUAUUCUGGCGGGCAUGCCUGUCCGAGCGUCAUUUCAACCCUCAGGCCCGCUCCCUCGCGGAGCGGCGCCUGGCGUUGGGGAUCGGCCGCCACCCCCGGCGGCCGGCCCCGAAAUACAGUGGCGGUCUCGCCGCAGCCUCCCCUGCGCAGUAGCACAUCUCGCACCGGAGAGCGGCGCGGCCACGCCGUGAAACCCCCCACUAUACCAAGGUUGACCUCGGAUCAGGUAGGAAUACCCGCUGAACUUAA
rnacentral:misc_RNA from 1 species